GGAAUCUGGUGGAGGUGAUGAGGGAGCUGCUAAGGUGGGGCAGGAGAGGACGGCUCGCCGACAAGCUCGAGUUGGAGGCGGUGAGAUCUUUUCCUUCAUGCCUUCCCACCUGCUGAGCUCGUUGGUCCUCCUCCCUCCCCUGUGCGGCCGGCUUCGUCCUUCAUCGCUCGAUUUACGAUCAACCCCUGGUACGCCUCCAUCCUUCGUCUCUUGCUCCGUGGCCCGGAUGUUGAGAGAGGGCGAGAGGCGGUGUCGCGGUGAUAUGCAGGGGUGAGGGAGAUGGAGGCGGUGACCUGCUGCUCCUAUUGAAGGGGCGGAGAAGAGGGGGUACUCGUGUGAGCGGAGAAGAGGGGGUACUCGUGUGGAAGAAAUCGGGACGAAGCGUUGGCAGUGACAGGUCGUGGAUCAUCUGUGCUUGUGCAGAUUUUAUUUCUGUACGCCUACAAGGUGUUCGACGAAAAUCCCAGAAGGCUGGCAGGGGAAGAAUGAUCUAUGUAAGCCAUGUGAUUUCCUGAUUCAGCUGCAGUCAAGUAAUUCUAAUAGGAAGACUGUUGGUUCAACUGAAGAUGCGGAGUUAGUGUGUGGACAGCUUGUUGGUAGAGUCCAUAAAAAAAUUCCAACCAGUCAUAACCGCCCUGCCUCGCUUCCGACGGUGCUGCUGGUUGCUCAGGUUCCUAGGGGACGUCUCAUGGUUGUUAUCUAUGGGAGGAGAGGAUGACAUCCAGAGCAGUAAGCGGCACGCUGCCCCAGCCAGCCGUCGUACAUGGCCGCGUCGAUUUUCCGUUACCUUGCCUCCUGCUGUUCGAUUUUCCUCUUUUGCUUACUUCUCCUUCCAGUGUUGGUGCGGGAUCGUUCGGUUCAUUGUUCAUUGUUCCGCUGGCUGCUCAGGUUUGCCAACAACAUCAGUUUGUUGUUUUCUCCCAGAGGUGGAUUAUUUCUGCGGGGUUGAGCUCCUCCAUGACCCGAUUUCUUACCUUGCUGGUUGUGUCAUAUGGCAGUCGGCAUUUGCUUGAUGAAUGUUUCAGUUCUACUACUGUUUCACCACCCCACCAUGAGCUCGGCCUUCAGCCGUGUUUAUUCUCGUUCCUUUCUCUAAUUCAUUUAUAUAUUUCAUGGGUAGGGUAUGGAUAGCCUGAUGAGAGCAGCCCAGUAGCCGCACCUCCGCAACUUUGCCAAUGUAUACAGUCAUCAGUACCAUCUCUUUACCGCAGUUUUUGCCUUCCAUUUUUUUGAGUUGUUUGAUUCAUUUCAUUUUCCAACUGAAUCAACUCUCGAGGUUUACGCAUAGCCCUAUAAGAAGAUCAAUCAUCGAUGACUUGCCGAUUUACAGG